ACACCAGGACAGAUGAGCUUCCAUGGGAGGAAUGAGGAUGUCUGGCCAAAGCCACUUUUCCACCUUAUUAAAAUGGAUAUUUCCAAGUUGUCAGAGGGUGAAGUCUGGGUUUUGCAGACUCUCGCUGACAGGAGGCUUCCUUUUGCCACUGGGAUCGUGGGCGUGCUGGAGCCUAUCCCAGCUAUCUUCGGGCGAGAUGCGGGGUACACCUUGGGCCAGUCACCAGCCAAUCGCAGGGCACAGAUUUUGUUUAAUUUCUUCAAGAGUGGGAAGAAUGAAGUACUUGGCAGACGAGAGUCAAGGAAAAUUGG